CCUGACGGAGCAAGACCGCGUGAGGGAGGAAGGCUCUUGGGUUGUAAACCUCUUUUAUCAGGGAAGAAGAUCUGACGGUACCUGAUGAAUCAGCAUCGGCUAACUCCGUGCCAGCAGCCGCGGUAAUACGGAGGAUGCAAGCGUUAUCCGGAUUUAUUGGGCGUAAAGCGUCCGCAGGUGGUUUUUCAAGUCUGCUGUUAAAGCGCGAGGCUUAACCUCGUAACGGCGGUGGAAACUGAGAGACUUGAGUAUGGUAGGGGUAGCGGGAAUUCCCAGUGUAGCGGUGAAAUGCGUAGAUAUUGGGAAGAACACCAGCGGCGAAAGCGCGCUACUGGGCCAUAACUGACACUCAUGGACGAAAGCUAGGGGAGCGAAAGGGAUUAGAUACCCCUGUAGUCCUAGCUGUAAACGAUGGGUACUAGGUGUUGACCGUAUCGACCCGGUCAGUGCCGUAGCUAACGCGUUAAGUACCCCGCCUGGGGAGUAUGCACGCAAGUGUGAAACUCAAAGGAAUUGACGGGGGCCCGCACAAGCGGUGGAGUAUGUGGUUUAAUUCGAUGCAACGCGAAGAACCUUACCAGGGCUUGACAUGUCGCGAAUCCCGGUGAAAGUCGGGAGUGCCUUCGGGAGCGCGAACACAGGUGGUGCAUGGCUGUCGUCAGCUCGUGUCGUGAGAUGUUGGGUUAAGUCCCGCAACGAGCGCAACCCUCGUUUUUAGUUGCCAUCAUUAAGUUGGGCACUCUAGAGAGACUGCCGGUGACAAACCGGAGGAAGGUGGGGAUGACGUCAAGUCAGCAUGCCCCUUACGUCCUGGGCUACACACGUACUACAAUGCUUCGGACAAAGGGUUGCGAGCUAGCGAUAGCAAGCUAAUCCCGUAAACCGAGGCUCAGUUCAGAUUGCAGGCUGCAACUCGCCUGCAUGAAGGAGGAAUCGCUAGUAAUCGCAGGUCAGCAUACUGCGGUGAAAUCGUUCCCGGGCCUUGUACACACCGCCCGUCACACCAUGGGAGUUGGCCACGCCCGAAGUCGUUACUCCAACCGCUUGCGGA
rnacentral:rRNA from 1 species